UGAAGAUAGUGGUGAUAGAGUGUGCUGUCUGGUUACUUAACUGCUUCAUUUUCUCUAUCCCGCUAAGAACAAUUGUUGCUGUGUCCUGUUUUAGAAUAGGACUUCACUGAAUAUUGCAGUAAAUUCUAAGGUGAAUUGAGUUGCUAUGGGAUAGUCAAUUCAGAAUUAAUUUUUUUUCUUCCCAACAACCUUAAAUAAGAAAAUGAAACGUAAAAUCCAAAGCUUUUAUGAGUUAUUAGUUAUGACUAUGAAAGAUUUUUUGCAAGAUAUUCUCUUGUGGUAAUUUAUUUACAGAAUGUAGCCAGAAUUACUUUGCUUCUCAACCAGCUCAAAUACGGCAAAGCUCAUAUAGUAAAAUAAUUAGAUCUGAGUUGUGUCUGAAUUAACUUAGGCAAUCUGAGGUAUUCCUGGGUUUGUAUAAUGUGGUCAACCACAUCUGUGGAAAUCUAAAUGGAUAACUCUUCAAUUAAUGUAAAAUAUAUGAUUAAAAAUAUACAGUGAUAGCUGACACUUUUUUAGCUGUUGGAAAACAAUUCUGAUUCAUUCCAGCAUAAUGUUUUUUUGUUUUGUUUUUUUCUCUAUUAGUUAAAAUCACUUUUUCUUCCCCUUGCAAAUCCAGUUCCUUCUGUUUGCUGAAGCAUCUUUGGCGCAGGUUUUUAUUCUUGCUCAUGGAAAUAUGUGAAUACAUUUGAAAUGAUCAGUGUUGCAGCAUGGCCUAGGAAGGAGAGUCACAGAGCAGAGAUUUUGAGUCAGCUGCUGUUACUGUAGUGUGCGAAGGAGUUGAACUUGCUUGCAUACCCAGGAAAGAUCACAAGUAUCCAGCCCCACAGAAAUACUGUAUUAUUGUUGUCACUCCGAGACCAGAAGAGCUUUUUGAAGAAGUUAUCUACCGUAGAGAGGAGCUGCAAUACUUAGUAAUUUCUGCAGAAUGGCCUCAUAGAAAUAUGGUUCCCGAAUUAAUAAAGGUAAAAGCAUUACAGCUUGAAGAAAUACAUGUUACUGCUUUAGCACAUGAAGUUGCUUUUUUCCCCUCAGAUUGCAAGCUUGGGAAAGCUGAGCUUAAGGCAAUUUCUUCAAUUGCACUUUGUUUAUAUUUUGGGUUAUGCCGAGACAGACUUACAAAGUCAGCUGUGAUAAUGGAACUGGAUAAACUUUAUUCAUAUGAGAGUGAGAGCAAAAAGGAUCCGAAAUCAGAUGUUCAUGAAGGCAAAUUGAGCGAGUUCUGUGCCGAUUAUUGUGGGUUUCGGCAUCACUGCUCCCAUUCUG